GACGAACGCUGGCGGCGUGCUUAACACAUGCAAGUCGAACGGAAAGGCCCUGCUUUUGUGGGGUGCUCGAGUGGCGAACGGGUGAGUAACACGUGAGUAACCUGCCCUUGUCUUUGGGAUAACUUCAGGAAACUGGGGCUAAUACCGGAUAGGAGCUCCUGCUGCAUGGUGGGGGUUGGAAAGUUUCGGCGGUUGGGGAUGGACUCGCGGCUUAUCAGCUUGUUGGUGGGGUAGUGGCUUACCAAGGCUUUGACGGGUAGCCGGCCUGAGAGGGUGACCGGCCACAUUGGGACUGAGAUACGGCCCAGACUCCUACGGGAGGCAGCAGUGGGGAGUAUUGCACAAUGGGCGGAAGCCUGAUGCAGCAACGCCGCGUGCGGGAUGACGGCCUUCGGGUUGUGAACCGCUUUCGCCUGUGACGAAGCGUGAGUGACGGUAAUGGGUAAAGAAGCACCGGCUAACUACGUG
rnacentral:rRNA from 1 species